AGCUUCUUGCAAGGAGACGAUGGCAGUUUGCAGAGCGGUGUCGUGAACCGCCUGAUAGCAGAGGUGUCCAGUGACAUGCGAGCAGCCCAGGGUGUGACAGAUGAUGUGAAGAUGGCUGCUAGCGACGUCCUGGUGGCUCUGGCCCGCUCCCGCUUCCACUUUGUCAUGUCUGAGCUCCAGAGCCACCUGAAGGCCAUGGGGAAGGUCCCUGAUGAGAUCGUGCUCCUCACCUUGGGCAAAAUGGCCCGCAGCUACGCCCUGCGGUGCAUCCCCUUCGUGGGAAU